CACAAUGCAUCUGCAAUUUUAUGGAUCGUAACCCACUUUGGUAUUAAGACUCAAGAGUUCAACAAGCAAGCAAUUCCUUUACAUUCGAGAAAAAGGCAAGUUCUCUUCCAGGUACCUGUGGUUAUAAUUUCGGAAAUCUAGAGCUGCACCUCUUCCCCCCUCCUCAGUGCCUCUUUCCUGCUGGAGCUGUGGAGUGUGACAAUGGUGUUUGUAUCCAAUCUGUCAAACGCCAUUAUCACACUAAAUAGCUACUGUUAGAUGAGCCAUCGGGUUCAGCGGAGGGAAGGAAAAGGAAGAGAAUUAUUGGAGCAAUCUAUCCUCCCAGCAAAGCUGCAGGAAUACAACAGUAUCAAAAUCACGACAACUGCUUGCUAUGCGGUGCCAAAAUCUCAUGCAGUAAAUAAUAGGAUCUGCUUUCCUAAAAGUACACAUUGUGAUCCCAGUUACUUUGCAGAGAUGUACAUGACUCAUGUUUGUGUUCAUGGGAUGCAGAGAUAUUUUAGUGAUCAAGCACAAGUGAUUAUGUACAUUUAUUCCUACAUUAUAACAAACAGCCUACACAACUGUCUUUCUUUCAUUUUUGCUCCCCAAAGCAACAUUAUAAGUGUUUAUUCCACUUAUUAACAAGUUAAUAGUUGUAGAUAUUUUAGUCUUGAAUAGGAGCUCCAUUGUUGUAUUGACGUUUGACAAAUGAGCCUGAGAAUGGAGGCAUAAUUCUAUUUUUGGCUCUCAGCUGUGUACAGCUCAGCUAUGUAUACAAGUCAUCAUUUAGUCAAAUGCUGAGCGGUAUUAUUGCCAUGUCGUUGGGGGGUUUGGCAGAAAAGCAACCACAAUCCAUGUCCAUAAUUGCUAUAUAAAUAUUCCAUAGGUGUGUAUAUUUCACUGAAAUCAAUGUGAAGUAUUUGAAGCACAAUGCAUAGACAACUUAUGCCAGAAAGGGAGUCAAGAGGUUACUACUUCUUCCCUGCAAAACAUCCAUCACUCUGCUCUACUUUGUGAUCCGUGAUGAAAGUAAAAACAGGGUGUUUCACACAUUAUGCAGCAGAAAACCAGGUUUGCCACUGAGCGUGCCCAAAACAGCACUUGCAGCCAAUGUUAGCUCUGUGAUUCAUGUACCUGUAUGAUAAAUUUGUACACUGCUGA